AUAGCAGUAGUACUAGUAAAAAUAAUAAUAGAAAUAAUAAUAAUAGUAAUGUAAUACUACGUAAACUGUCUUUAUCCAUUGAACUGGCCAUUUCAAAUCAAAACUUCUAAACACAAAUCAAACCAUCAUCCUUGUAGAAUCUUUCACAGCAGCGGGCUAAAGAUGCUGGUUUUGUUGACAGGAUUUAUUGGUUCUGGAAGAACAAGAGGGAAGUACAAGCCUAACUACUUCUAGCUCACAGAGCCGUCCAGUGAACCCAGCUUUGUGUUUUGGUGGGCUUGUGAUGACUUUGAAAUCAAUUGCUCAUUCCAGUAAAAAAAAUUCAUGUUUUUUUGAACGUGACAGCAGAAAUAACUUUAGGCACCAACUGAAUAAUAAUAGAUCACCAGUUUAAGUUAAAAAUUCAUGCUAUACUAUCAAAAUUUAAAGGUAAAUUAUUAUGUGUUAGGUGAUGGUAUAAAGUGUAUGUUCUAAUGUGUAAUGCAAAGAUACAUACGUACCUGAAAGUCCUUAGAGGAAACAAAUUUUUAUGUCUGCUGUUUGAUUGUUUACCAUACGAUAUUUGGUUUCAUUUCCCAGGGAUCGGUGAAUUUUAACUUUGGAGUCCCCUAUGCUAAGGAUGCUCAGCUUACAGGUGAUGAAAUGUUCAGUAAUGGUGAGUUUUUCACCUUCUCUUUAAUUGCUAUGCUGAUCUGAAUAAGAAAAAAAAAAAACAAAAGCAAGAGAAAAAAAAGGAUGGUUUAUUAUUUUUUACGCUGUUAUGUUUGUUUCCUCAGUAUUUGCUGCAGCUCUGCUUACCCAAGCUUUGGGUUCCUUCUGUCCCACUGGGAGUUGCCCAAUUUGGUUGCAUCUGGUGAAAUUCACCCUGAGACCUUACAGAACCAGCUCCAACUACGUGAGAGCCAUUUGCAGUUCUCUCCAGACGCCUGGAGAAUGGGCGACGUUUCUGAGGAUCCGGCGAGCGUGCUUCUGUCAAAACUCGGUCUGUGAAAUUCCUGGGGAAAACCCUUCUGUGUCCUGAAGGGUUCAAACUCUGGUGAGGAUCCAGUUAUCAGGUGCUCACCUGGAUGGUUCCAGCUCCCAAAGGGAAAGACUCUCGUAUCCUUGUCGUCGGGCUCGGUGCUGUCCAAGAAGAUACAGAGACUAAAAAAAUCAUAAGAAGCAAAAUAUGACUGCAGGGAAAAGAAGCUGGAGAGAACAGAAGACUCAUCACGGCGGGACAGCGUGAGGACUGAAAGUGUAAGAAGAUGUGGAGGGAAAGAGAGAAUCUGACAGGAGCAUCGGACGCACGAGUGCAGGAAUUUUGCUUUUUUGCUUGGAUGUAAACUCAGGCGUUGAAAGGAAUUUGGGAGUGAGAAGGGACAUUUCAGAAGGAGAAGAAGCAAAAGAAGUUGUUGUUGUUGUUACAGUC